UUGCUGCCGUUCACAGUGGAAGCCGGAUGAACAGGGCCUUCAGCAGGGCAUGUCAGUCCCCUGUCUCUGCGCUCCUGCAUCAGCACAGACAGCUGCAGCACACUACUGGAGAGGUGCGGAUUAUAUUUUUUAUGCUGAUUGCUGGCCUGCCUGUGCUGAGCCUGAACGCAAUGCUCCCAAAAGCAUCCAGGCACAGCAAAACCUACAGUAACUACUGCUCCACUGCAAUGAGACGCAGCUUAAAUAUACCGUGGAAGACUACCAAAUCAUCUACCUCUUGCAAAUUUCGGGGACGGCACAGGGUUUAACAUGAAACUCGCUGCAUUGAUUCCUCCGAUCACAACAGAAAUACGUAACAGAAUUACUUCUUCCAUAUUUCCCCUGUCUCCUAAUAGCCGCCAUGUACCCUGUCGGAGCAUUGGAUCGCUGCUUGAGUCGGCAAAGAGAAUGAACAUCCACAACCCAAAAAGUAUUUUUAUGUCCCCAAGUUUGUCCAAGGCUUUCAAAGACUUCCAUGAGUGACUAAGCAAAACAAAUCUAUUUUAUUUGCUUAAAUGGAUAUUUAAGAGACUAGUAGGGGCAGCCUCACCAUUAGCCAGGGCAUCAACUUGAGGGGAUUACGUCCUACUGAGGAUUAUUAUCUAUAAAAGAGUGAGGUGAGACAGCCAGGAAGUAUCAGAGGUUCUGAGUCAAUGUCAUUGUUCCAAUACGGUCAACCAGCUUAUUAAGUAGCAAAUAAUAGCAUUUAGUUUGCAGUUCCCCCUGUCACGCUUGGUUUAUCAUUUCUAAAAGAUUAACUCCUCA